AUGGCGACAGCGUUGUCGGCGCCCGUCUCCACGGCAACGGUGCGAGUUUCCAAUAUCCCGCCCUCCGCCGUCGCUAAGGAGCUCCUAGCAUUCUUCAAUUCUGCCGUCGCCGCCGCCGGCGAAGCGUACGCCUGCGAGAUCGCCGCUGCCCGACGCGGCUGGCUAAGCCGAGGCAAUGGCAGCGUUCAGUUCGAUUCCACCGCCACCGCAACCCUCGCCGCCGAACUCGCCUCCUCCGGGCGCCUACCCCGCUUCCUCGGCUCCCUCCUCUCCGUCUCCCCUGCCCCCUCGGACCUUCUUCCCCGCGCGCCGGACCUUUCUCUCCGCGUGGCCGACGCCCGCCUCCUUGUAGGCAACCGCGUCGCCGAGCGCGAAUUCGAGGUGGCCGACUCUUGGGACAGCGUGUGCGUGGAGGUCAUCCCGGGGAAGCGGCGCAUAGACCUCUACCUGAAUCACGAUACACAGAUGUACAAGCUCGAGGUGUUCUUCGAGGACAUCAGGAACUGCUACCAGUGCAGCUUCGAUGGGGCCGGCGCCAUCUUGCUUCAGAUGAGAUUCGUGGAAGUGAAGUGUGAUCUGAUAGUUUCAUUUGAAGAAAAGGACGGUGUGCAGACAAACAGUAGGUUUGAUAUGCAUGGCGUGCAGGCCUUGAUUUAA
rnacentral:rRNA from 1 species